UAUAGGAUUAAGAUGGGCAUGCGUGUCAUUAGCUAGUUGGCGGGGUAACGGCCCACCAAGGCGACGAUGACUUGGGGAUCUGAGAGGAUGACCCCCCACACUGGUACUGAGACACGGACCAGACUCCUACGGGAGGCAGCAGUAAGGAAUAUUGGUCAAUGGAGGCAACUCUGAACCAGCCAUGCCGCGUGCAGGAAGACAGCCCUCUGGGCCGUAGACUGCUUUUAUUCGGGAAUAAACCACAUUACGUGUAAUGUGCUGAAUGUACCGAAGGAAUAAGGAUCGGCUAACUCCGUGCCAGCAGCCGCGGUAAUACGGAGGAUCCAAGCGUUAUCCGGAUUUAUUGGGUUUAAAGGGUGCGUAGGCGGCUUAUUAAGUCAGGGGUGAAAGACGGUGGCUCAACCAUCGCAGUGCCUUUGAUACUGAUGAGCUUGAAUACACUAGAGGUAGGCGGAAUGUGACAAGUAGCGGUGAAAUGCAUAGAUAUGUCACAGAACACCGAUUGCGAAGGCAGCUUACUAUGGUGUGAUUGACGCUGAGGCACGAAAGCGUGGGGAUCAAACAGGAUUAGAUACCCUGGUAGUCCACGCCCUAAACGAUGAAUACUCGCUGUUAGCGAUAUACAGUUAGCGGCUAAGCGAAAGCGUUAAGUAUUCCACCUGGGGAGUACGCCCGCAAGGGUGAAACUCAAAGGAAUUGACGGGGGCCCGCACAAGCGGAGGAGCAUGUGGUUUAAUUCGAUGAUACGCGAGGAACCUUACCCGGGCUUGAAAGUUAGUGAAUCAUUUAGAGGUAGAUGAGUCCGCAAGGACACGAAACUAGGUGCUGCAUGGCUGUCGUCAGCUCGUGCCGUGAUGUGUUGGGUUAAGUCCCGCAACGAGCGCAACCCCUUAUGUUUAGUUGCCAGCACGUUAUGGUGGGGACUCUAAACAGACUGCCUGUGCAAACAGAGAGGAAGGAGGGGACGACGUCAAGUCAUCAUGGCCCUUACGUCCGGGGCUACACACGUGCUACAAUGGAUGGUACAGAGGGCAGCAAGCUGGCAACAGCAAGCGAAUCUCAAAAAGCCAUUCACAGUUCGGAUAGAGGUCUGCAACUCGACCUCUUGAAGUUGGAUUCGCUAGUAAUCGCGUAUCAGCAAUGACGCGGUGAAUACGUUCCCGGGCCUUGUACACACCGCCCGUCAAGCCAUGGAAGUUGGGGGUACCUAAAGUAUGUAACCGCAAGGAGCGUCCUAGGGUAAAACCGAUAACUGGGGCUAAGUCGUAACAAGGUA
rnacentral:rRNA from 1 species